GCAUCUUCUGCAUCCCGUGUGGUUUGAACCCAAGUCUUCAUCAGAGCCCAAACUCAGUCUGGAAGCACCAGCCUGGCUGUGGCUGUAGAGAAGUUAACUUCUUUCACAAAGCAGCACAUAAAAUCUCACCUACAAUAUGGCAAUUCUCAUUGCACCACAACAGAGAAUGCUUGAAGAAAACGCUAUGAAAGAAGAGCUGAAAUAACACUGAGCUGAGAUUUCUUGCCAUACCAGCAGAGACCAACUAAGAGACUGUGACAUAAUGACACAGACUGUAUAUAGUCAAGAAACACCGAGUGAUCUCUCUAUACCAUAACUGGCAUGUUUUCAUCAAAGCUUUCUACUCAUCAGCUGGCCCUAACAGUAGCAGGUGUUGGAAAGGGUAUGCCACAGAUUGCCAGACUGCAGAGGGACUACCAGUUCUCUGAGCCUCAGCAAGUCACUUCUUGGAGACUGUCAAAAUAUGUCUCAAAAAGAACAAGGACUGAAGCCUCCCUUUCCGUUUACCUGCUCUCUGCCAGUAUUCUGCAAGAGGCUGUCUUAUUUGCCAUUGAAAGAGCUCCAUUUCAUGCUCCUCCUGACAGACUGCUAUUUAAGGCUCUGCUUAGCAUUCAUAGUUCUUUCUUGUCAGAAUUAUUUUCUUGUUCCAUUUGGUUUUUAGCACCAGAGCUGUAAAUCCAGGAAGCAUUUUACACGCUGUGUUAGGGCUUGAUUGAAAUCCCAUUGAAAUCAAUGAAAGCCUUCCUAUUGACUUCAGUGACCGGGCGC